GUUAAUUCGACGAUGUGUUCACCAGGAAGUCCACGAUGAAUAACAAAGGAAUGAGGAGCAGUGACCAACUCAUUUUUUUCUGCUUCUUCGAUCUGUUUGUUCCGUUUGACACAACGACCCUUUGAGAACAAAUUCUGUCUUCGCGGCUCGGAAAAGCACGUGUUGACCGUCUGGAUCAGUGUUUACAACUAUAUAGAGUCAAUAGAGUGCGCUGCGAUUCGACCGUUCCAUCGUUUGUCAUGGAGUCAUAUUUUUUCGAAAAUUUACUCGCGCCAAAUCUUAGAUAAAUUUUAUGAAUUAAAAAAGUUUCAAUUCGCUGUUGUAGAA